rnacentral:rRNA from 1 species
GAUGAACGCUGGCGGCGUGCUUAACACAUGCAAGUCGAACGGAAAGGCCCAAGCUUGCUUGGGUACUCGAGUGGCGAACGGGUGAGUAACACGUGGGUGAUCUGCCCUGCACUUCGGGAUAAGCCUGGGAAACUGGGUCUAAUACCGGAUAGGACGAUGGUUUGGAUGCCAUUGUGGAAAUUUUUUUCGGUGUGGGAUGAGCUCGCGGCCUAUCAGCUUGUUGGUGGGGUAAUGGCCUACCAAGGCGUCGACGGGUAGCCGGCCUGAGAGGGUGUACGGCCACAUUGGGAAUGAGAUACGGCCCAGACUCCUACGGGAGGCAGCAGUGGGGAAUAUUGCACAAUGGGCGCAAGCCUGAUGCAGCGACGCCGCGUGGGGGAUGACGGCCUUCGGGUUGUAAACUCCUUUCGCUAGGGACGAAGCGUUUUUGUGACGGUACCUGGAGAAGAAGCACCGGCUAACUACGUG